AUCGGGUACCAGGAUCAAAGACACAGACUGAAACCUAGCUGACCUGCCAGACCAUGGCAUCCGGGGGACUCCUUGUGGCUGGCGCCUCCUUCGCGGCGUUUCAGGGACUGCACUGGGGGCUGCAGCUGAUGCCCACCCCGGAAUCCGUUCGGGACCGCUGGAUGUGGCGGAACAUUUUCGUUUCGCUGAUGCACAGCCUACUCUCUGGAACAGGGGCACUGGUCGGGCUGUGGCUGUUUCCUCAGAUGGUCACCGACCCGAUUUAUGAUCACCCAUCGUGGGCACGGGUCCUAGUAGCAGUGUCAGUGGGUUAUUUCGUGGCAGACGGAGUUGACAUGCUGUGGAAUCAGACGUUGGCCCAGGCCUGGGACCUUCUCUGCCACCACCUAGUGGUAAGACUCUG
rnacentral:lncRNA from 1 species